GAUGAACGCUGGCGGCGUGCUUAACACAUGCAAGUCGAACGGAAAGGCUCCUGCUUGCAGGGGUACUCGAGUGGCGAACGGGUGAGUAACACGUGGGUGAUCUGCCCUGCACUUCGGGAUAAGCCUGGGAAACUGGGUCUAAUACCGGAUAGGACGAUGGUUUGGAUGCCAUUGUGGAAAGUUUUUCGGUGUGGGAUGAGCUCGCGGCCUAUCAGCUUGUUGGUGGGGUAAUAGCCUACCAAGGCGUCGACGGGUAGCCGGCCUGAGAGGGUGUACGGCCACAUUGGGACUGAGAUACGGCCCAGACUCCUACGGGAGGCAGCAGUGGGGAAUAUUGCACAAUGGGCGCAAGCCUGAUGCAGCGACGCCGCGUGGGGGAUGACGGCCUUCGGGUUGUAAACUCCUUUCGCUAGGGACGAAGCGCAAGUGACGGUACCUGGAGAAGAAGCACCGGCUAACUACGUG
rnacentral:rRNA from 1 species